rnacentral:rRNA from 1 species
UGGGGAAUAUUGCACAAUGGGCGCAAGCCUGAUGCAGCCAUGCCGCGUGUGUGAAGAAGGCCUUCGGGUUGUAAAGCACUUUCAGCGAGGAGGAAGGUGUGAGCUUAAUACGCUCAUCAAUUGACGUUACUCGCAGAAGAAGCACCGGCUAACUCCGUGCCAGCAGCCGCGGUAAUACGGAGGGUGCAAAGCGUUAAUCGGAAUUACUGGGCGUAAAGCGCAGCAGGCGGUUUGUUAAGUCAGAUGUGAAAAUCCCCGGGCUCAACCUGGGAACUGCAUUUGAAACUGGCAAGCUAGAUCUCGUAGAGGGGGGUAGAAUUCCAGGUGUAGCGGUGAAAUGCGUAGAGAUCUGGAGGAAUACCGGUGGCGAAGGNGGCCCCCUGGCGAAGACUGACGCUCAGGUGCGAAAGCGUGGGGAGCAAAACAGGAUUAGAUACCCUGGUAGUCC